AGUGAACGCUGGCGGUAGGCCUAACACAUGCAAGUCGAACGGCAGCACAGUAAGAGCUUGCUCUUACGGGUGGCGAGUGGCGGACGGGUGAGGAAUACAUCGGAAUCUACUUUUUCGUGGGGGAUAACGUAGGGAAACUUACGCUAAUACCGCAUACGACCUACGGGUGAAAGCAGGGGAUCUUCGGACCUUGCGCGAUUGAAUGCGCCGAUGUCGGAUUAGCUAGUUGGCGGGGUAAAGGCCCACCAAGGCGACGAUCCGUAGCUGGUGUGAGAGGAUGAUCAGCCACACUGGAACUGAGACACGGUCCAGACUCCUACGGGAGGCAGCAGUGGGGAAUAUUGGACAAUGGGCGCAAGCCUGAUCCAGCCAUACCGCGUGGGUGAAGAAGGCGUUCGGGUUGUAAAGCCCUUUUGUUGGGAAAGAAAAGCAGCAGGUUAAUACCCCGCUGUUCUGACGGUACCCAAAGAAUAAGCACCGGCUAACUUCGUG
rnacentral:rRNA from 1 species